ACUCGAGCACGAUCUUCACCGUGAUGUGGAGAACCGACUCGAAGUAUCAAUCCUGAGGGA
rfam:Corynebacterium diphtheriae NCTC 13129, complete genome